rnacentral:rRNA from 1 species
GUGGGGAAUAUUGCGCAAUGGCCGAAAGGCUGACGCAGCGACGCCGCGUGGGGGAUGAAGCAUUUCGGUGUGUAAACCCCUGUUGCCCGGGACGAACAACUGGUUUUGACCAGUCUGACGGUACCGGGUGAGGAAGCACCGGCUAACUCCGUGCCAGCAGCCGCGGUAAUACGGAGGGUGCGAGCGUUGUCCGGAAUCACUGGGCGUAAAGGGCGCGUAGGCGGUCUGCUAAGCGUGCGGUGAAAGCCUGGGGCUCAACCCCAGGUCGGCCGUGCGAACUGGUGGACUUGAGCACUGUAGAGGCAGGUGGAAUUCCGGGUGUAGCGGUGGAAUGCGUAGAGAUCCGGAAGAACACCGGUGGCGAAGGCGGCCUGCUGGGCAGUAGCUGACGCUGAGGCGCGACAGCGUGGGGAGCAAACAGGAUUAGAAACCCUGGUAGUCC